CUAGAGAAAAUCUGGAUUGAGAACUCACAACCUAUCGGUUGUCACAGGCUGCACAUGCGGAGGGUCUGUAGCUCAGUCGGUUAGAGCAUCGUCUUGAUAAGGCGAGGGUCGUUGGUUCGAUUCCAACCAGACCCACCAGUGUAUCGACGGCGGGCCACUGUGCGCGGAGGCAACUCUUAGAUCUUUUCGACGAAGAGUCGGGAGGGUCGUCGCCGAACAGCGGGGGAUUAGCUCAGCUGGGAGAGCACCUGCUUUGCAAGCAGGGGGUCGUCGGUUCGAUCCCGUCAUCCUCCACCAUCCGCGCCGCGUGAACAGUCGGCCUGCGGGGUAGUGAUCUACCCUGCAGGCCUGACCCUUUACCGGGUGAGUGCUCUUUAACAAACUGGAAGAAGGUUGUAUUGCUGGCGCCCCUGCGGGGGUGUUGGUGAUACGGUUGUGAUUGCAUCGAACCCCCGCAAGGGGGAGCACAAAUGAGUUGCCUGUAGCUGGAGGUCUCGCAAGAGAGCUCAAGGUUAUAG
rnacentral:tRNA from 1 species